GUGCCGUACUGCCGCGGCCGGUCCUUUCCUUCUGGUGUCAACCGGUGUGCCUCGCAAGGGGCGUGCCGGCGAGCCAGGACGUUUACCUUGAAAAAAUUAGAGUGUUUAAAGCAGGCUCACGCUUGAAUACAUUAGCAUGGAAUAACGAAAUAGGACGUUUGAUUCUAUUUUGUUGGUUUC
rnacentral:rRNA from 1 species